AACGAACGCUGGCGGCAGGCUUAACACAUGCAAGUCGAGCGCCCCGCAAGGGGAGCGGCAGACGGGUGAGUAACGCGUGGGAAUCUACCCAUCUCUACGGAAUAACGCAUGGAAACGUGUGCUAAUACCGUAUACGUCCUUCGGGAGAAAGAUUUAUCGGAGAGGGAUGAGCCCGCGUUGGAUUAGCUAGUUGGUGGGGUAAAGGCCUACCAAGGCGACGAUCCAUAGCUGGCCUGAGAGGAUGAUCAGCCACACUGGGACUGAGACACGGCCCAGACUCCUAAGGGAGGCAGCAGUGGGGAAUAUUGGACAAUGGGCGCAAGCCUGAUCCAGCCAUGCCGCGUGAGUGAUGAAGGCCCUAGGGUUGUAAAGCUCUUUCACCGGUGAAGAUAAUGACGGUAACCGGAGAAGAAGCCCCGGCUAACUUCGUGCCAGCCGCCGCAGUAAAAC
rnacentral:rRNA from 1 species